GGGGGGGGGGUCAUGAAUUCCUUGUGCUCCCAUGCACGGCUUAAGACGUGGAACUAUUGCAUGACUGCCACACGUGUGAUGCACCACAGAGAAUCCACACUGACACAAAAUGCCAUUUUGCAGUCAUGUUGAAUACAUACAAACAGGCAAACUGAUACUAGUUUUUGGACCAUUAUAAUAUAGCAUCAAAGGUGGUAGCAGCCGUUACAAAAUCGCAUCCACAGAAACCAUCAUUUUGUUCAAAACAACGGUGGAAGUCGAAAAAUCUCGAGGAUGGCAACAACGCCGUUCUCCCUCCUUCUCCCUCUCUUCCUUCCCUUCGUUACUUCGCAAGAAAACAAAUAUAAGUUACUAGGACACACUUAAUUAACCCUGUCGAAGAGUAAGAACUUUGGAUGGACAGAAGGAGAUCGACAAAUAUUGGAAUGUUAUGGACUCAGCCUACUUCAUGGGAUGGAUGGAACAAGAUCCUCUCAUGGAUCAAUUCCACGCUCCAACUCAAUCUCGCCAAAGUAGAUGAGGUUCUUAGAUUGAAUUCCUUCAUUUUUUUUCUGUGUAUGCGUGUGUUUGUUGCCUUCACUCAUUUGUUCUGAGAUUGUUCGAAUUUAUAGAUUGGAUUGGCACUGUUUUUGCGAAAAUUUUACUGAUUUCCUAUUGCUGGUUGUUAGAUUGAUUUACUACGGCUGGUUUGCUUGGAGUGGGAGUUUGACCUGCACAAAGAGACGAUCAAAGGUUAUUAAAACUGAUUCAGUGAGGGACCAUCUGAUGCUUAAGUCAAGCAAAAUUUUAACAGAACAUGAUAGAGAGAAAAAAAUCUGAAGUACGAGACAUGAGGCUGGAUAAAUUCUAAUAAGUUGCUCAUCUAAGUCCCCUAACUCUGGUUGUAUAGGAUGAUGGCAUGAUUCCAUUAUGCCUUAGCUCUGAGAUUAGUAGAUGAGCUAUGACCAUCCACUCUUGUCUGUGCCUUAACUACAUGGAGCUGCAAUCACUCCUCACAAUUUGCCUAGAUUUUAAACAUGCAUACCAUGUCUUGCAUUGCCAUUGGACAGUGGAUACAAGCGGUAUAACGGCAGCUAAGCAUCAAAUCCAAGCCAUAUCAGCGGUGUUUAUGGUCAAAACCUGAACUGGGAAUUGGUGGGAAAAUAAAGUUGGUUAUUGAUGUGAAUUAUGAUUGCUGUAUAUGCUUCCAUUGGAAUCAUCUGCCAAAACAGAGAAAAGAAAGCUGAUGAGGUGUCAAAUAAUAAUAGCAGCAUGGUAUGGUAUGAUAUUGUUUCUUUAGAUAUACUGGGAUUGAAAGUGGUUGAUGUUUAAAAUAGUUAGGAGUUUUUGCCAAUGUUUAAUUGAUAUUAACUAACAGGUUUUUUUUUGUUUUUCUUGAUUUGUAUAGCAUUUUUAGUGUCAGAUGAAUCAGAUAGAAUCUCCUCGAGAGUUUUGCUUCUUGGGUCUUGUUUGCACAGAGUUCAUAGGGUAGGUUAUGUCUCAUGGGGAUGUAAUCCAUGUGCUUAUAGUAUUAUUUAUAAUUGUAAACCUACAGAGACUAGGAUUAUUUUUCAUGUGUUUGUUGACCAAUACAUGUGGGAAUUCAUAAAACCAGAGUUCUUAUAACCAAUGGACACACAUCAUUUGUUUUAAUUAUAGGAACACCAAAUAUUGCAAAAUAAAUGAAAAGAGAUGAUUUAUAGAAUGCCAAACAUUUGAAUUCUCAGUGACUAUGGUUUGCUGAUUUCUUUUUAAAUUGUCUCUGUUUCUAGCAUAUUGAAUUGAUCAAGCUCAUGAAAGGACGGCCGCUUCAUAAUUUGGAAUUCAUGCAGUGGAUGAAGUGAUAUUGUGAUUCUAUCAAUGGUGGUGUUAUCAACAAGUGGUUCUUGUCCUGUUGGUUGUUUUUCCUUGGUCUACUUACCUCCAUGUCUAUGUUUAAGCUUGCUAGGGUCGAAGACAUGUUUGUGCAUAGACCUGCUAAGGUGUUGAUGAUUUAUUUCUUUCUAACCUACUAUAAUGAUCAAAAGUUCAGUUUUUCUUGUGAAAAGAUUUGGUACAUUAUCUGUUUGAAGAACCAUAAGACCAACAUCCUGUCCACAUUACAUACAGAAAAUGCCUCAAUCAAUUUGCGUCUCCAUCAACAAAAUAACUGUAGAGAAUGCAUACUGAAGAUAUAGUAAGUCUUGUACUUCCAACCUCUUUUCUCUUAGCUUGCACGCUAAAGUUUGCAAGAGGUAUUAUGUUGGCCAAAUCUUGGAAGACACGAGUUAGAAACAUGGACGUCUCUUGUCUUCAUUUCUGCACAUUGAAUAAGCCAUGUUACUUUGACACUACAGUUCCUAUGGAAUUAUGGAGUGCCAACCACUCUAGAUAUUUGGGCAUGACAUUAACAGGCAAGAAACAUAUGGUAAUCCAAUUGUAGUGUCUUGCUUAUAUUAGUUAGAAGUGUUAAUAUUUGGCAGCACAUUUUGAUGUGUUAUGUGAAAUGUCAAUAUUUGACACCACUUCAAGAGUUUUUUAUGACUAAUCAUCUGAAGUGUUCAGUAUCCUAGUGAAGUUCCAUGCCUUUUUCUUCUUUUUUUUUUAUAAUUAUUAUAGAAUAGAUGUGUUAAUUUCUCAAUAGAAUUACAAUUAGCAAAUCUUCAUAUGUAUGUGCGUAUGUUUUUUGCGUACUGACGCGUGCUUUCUUUUGCUAGGGGCGACUCAUGUUUUUAGCCCUUUGCUUGCUCAACUGUUUGCCCUUUAAUUAUAAUCCAUUGGAGAGGAAAGAGUUGUAAAGGAGGAAAGGAAGCUAACAGGAGCAGCAUUUGCGCAAGCUUCAUCCAAGUCUUCUAGUGUUACCAAAACACAAUCCAAUCUUCUCCAAGCGCUCGGGAGAAUGACACCGUUGCUGGAAACCCUCCACUGAGGUUCACAAAAUCUGCUUACAUCAGAGGAAGACAAGCUUAUGAUGAGCAGGGAACCUGAAAGCAAUGUUAAGGACUUCUUUUUCCAAGAUGAUGUAAAGCCUAACAAAUCUGUAAUGAAUGCAGAUGAGCGAGUUGAAGCUUUUGAUUUUGCCAAAUUGAAAGAGACUGAGAUCAUGCGCCAGAGACCUGGAAUGGAGCGUCUACUUGUAUGGAGCGAUAUGCUCUCCAAGUUGUAGAUCAUGCAUUUUUCUUUUUCAUUAAUCACUGGAAUCAAGUUGUACCAAAAAAAAUCACUAGAAUAAAAAAGAAUUCAAGUAUAAUGAGACAAAAAGUCCUCAGCUGGGUGCUUAAAUUCUUAACUAUUUUUAAAAAAAUAAUAAAAAAAAGGCAAAAAAAAAAAGAAAAAUGCCUAAAUGGUUACAUGCAUAUUUGCAUGCUUUUGUUGCUAUGCGAGCAUCUCGGGAUUUUCCUGAAGCUUGACCUAUUCUGUAUGUUAACUGGUAUUUUUUCACUAUAAUUUUGCAGAUUGUGGAUACAAUUCAGAGGCCAAUAUAUGCCAUGGAUGACGAUUCUUCUGUGGUGGAAGAUGCACAGGCUAUGAUAUUGCGGCAACAAACUCAGCAGGUGCCACUGAAUCCCGUUGCCCAGGCACCAGAAUAGAAACCAAUGAAAGAAGAGAGAGAGAGAGAGAAUCCAUGAGAACUAGGAAACCACUGUUUUCAACAUAUGAUUCUACGCCGACAAUAUUUUAAAAUGAAAUAAAAUAUGGGGUUCCUGAAGAGAACUUUUGCAAUGUAGCAUGGCGAAGCAUACCCUCUACUUCUCCCAAACUUGCCUCAUCUUGGACGUGACAUCAUUCUGAAUGCGCCUGCCUCGACAAAAACAACACUGCAGUGUUUAUUCUCAAUAAUUCUAACUUAUUUCUGAAGCCGACUGAACUUGUGAUAGUCAAAACCAAAUGAUUUAGAAAGUCCAUUAUCAAAUUCAUCUCAUCCAACAGAGGUAUGAGUUAUCUAAUAAAAGGCACCAGCACAUCACACGUCCAACUCCUGAUUAAGAUCCAGGAGAAUAUAGCCUAAGCUAACACCAGAUCUCUACGUAAUAUAAAACAAUAAAAGGCUUAUAAGUAGGAAGUAAAUAUGAAAGGAGCUUCAUCUCUGCUGCCAAAUAGAGAGACUGAGGCUUCCUACUACAUAUUUUUUUUCCUACAAACACAAGCAGGCCCUUUUCUAGCAUGUCAAACCAAACAGAGCUUUCAGUGUCGUAUUCAUGCAGUGGGAGCUGGCUCUUCCACCGUGCUCGACUGGCCUUCUGUUGUUGAUGUAGGCGGCUGUUCCUUGGUUGGCUUGCUGCCACCAGCUUUGGCCUCUUUAGGGGGUGUUCCCUGCUUGCUUCCAGUAGCUGCACCAGCAGCAACUCCAUCUUUAGCUGGGGCAGGUGGGGGAGAGGGUUUCAUGUGUGGUGGGGGAUUAUGCUUGAGUUUCACCAAUAUUUGGCGCAUCCUCGAGCGAUCAGUAGGCUUGCCUGGCUUUGGCCCCUGCAUAACAAUGAUGGAUGGCUUCUUCUCUUGUUCUUUCUUUCCCCUCUUCUUCUCUAUGCUUGGUACUUCGUGGGGUAUCAGCUCUGAAAUUGCUUUCCAGUAAUGUUUGUCUGCAUUUGCAUGGAACUUCUCUUGGUUGACCAGGAAUAGCUGGGUAACAGGCAGUAAGCAACAAAGAUUGCAGCUUUGAACAAACAUUCCAAAUGGAAAAUUAAAAAAGCUUGUACUCAAACAGCAUUAUUACUGCAUACCUUCUCCCUCUCUCUAUUGUGGGUCUUGUUUGUCUCACAGUUUAGCUUCCUUUUCUCAUGGAAAGCUUGCUUGUAUUCAUCAGCUUCAGCAACAAUUUGGUUCCGUAACUCCUUUUCCUUUCUUUCUUUCUCCUCAAGAAGAAUAGCAUUUUGGCUGCUUGAGGUGGUUCAAAUGAAAAACAAAAAAAUUGUUUAACCUUUAUCUCCAUUGAUAUGAAAAUGGAAUGCAGUAGGAAAAGAAUCGGAGAAAAGCUGAAACUGUCACUAUAAAAAUGUGCUCAUUAAAAAAUGCAAAUGGCCUGUAAAGACAUGAAAUGAUUUCUUUGAGUAAGUCAUAUGAACUUUCCAAGCACUUUAAUGCUACAAGUUUGUCUUUGUCAAGUAGCUUGAAUGCAGCAAACUUCCUUUCUACAAAAAAAGCCAAGGCAUAUUAGCAUCUAUUAUCUGUCAAAGGCAUCACUCUUUUCCCUUUUAUAGACCCAUUCCAUUGUCGCAAUACAAGAGUGCUUAGUAUGGAGAUUAUUUUGUGGGUUGCAGCAAGUCUAAAUUGCUCGCAAUUCAGUUCAUAUGCUAGUCAAUUUUAUAACCUUUCUACUAUAUAGUCGCAUCAAAAGAGUCAAUAAAACUUAAAACAAAAAGAAGUAGAAUAACCACUCAAUUUUCCACAUGAAUGUUCAACUCUCCAUUAUGACACAAUAAAGAUGAACAGUAACUGAUUUCUGACAAAUUCACUUGCAUAUCAAGGUUACAUGGUGAUCCUUAAUCUAAUUCAUGAAGGCCACUAGUAAUAUAUAUGGAUGCUUCCCACAAUAAAAAUAGCAAAACCUUUCCAUCCUGCCACGCAAAAAGCAUAUUUUCUCGCAUGAUUCCAACAUUAGUUUGCCACCCUAGGAACAUUUCAACUUCAAAUCUCACCACCUCAAAACGCAUGGCACUUCAAGUACUUUUGUUUCCAACUCUCAAGGCAAAUUUCCUUCCAAAAUUGCAGAUGACAAAGUGAACAUCAUUACAGACUUAAAAAAACAAAAGUUCAAGAAGAUUCAUAUGAAAGAGGGGCAUGCUUGUUUAUCAGCAAGGUAAAGGGAUCUGGUCAUGAUUGCACAGCCUACAAGCAUUAUCGCAUCUACUUGGCACCAAGUCUAACUAAACAAUAAAACAAUGACCUCCCAUAUUGGAAGGUCCUCUAUCAUGGAACCAACUUAUACUUGUCCAACACAAUUCAUCAUCAAUAGUUUGCUCUGGAAGAGAAAAAAAUGAUUCAUGGUUGGAUUUCUAAGUAUCAGAAUUACCAAUGCCAACCCUAGUCAACUAUACCUUGUUAAAGAUCCAAUGUACGAAUAUGACUAGCUCUAAUCCUACUAACAAAGGGCCUUUCUCUUUUUCUUUUUUCAAAAAAAAAAAAAAGCCACCUUGUUCCACAUGUGAAAUACUACAUGGAAGGUUGGCCCUUAUACAUAGGUUUCAAGAACAAAGGCAUUAUAUAAAGUUACAAAUAGGCUCAACCACCAUUCAAUUCAGUCAAUCACAAAGAUCCACCCCAAAUGGAACCUUCAAGCACGCUACGAAGCAACAAAAGCGAGCGAUUGCAUAGUUUGCUCCCAUAUCCUGUCACUGAAAAUUACUAUAACCGAUGAAUACCUAGACGACACUCCUGCAGAAAAGUGACCGACUAGUAUGUCUCGCUUCUCUUCCUGAAUGUGAAUUGCUCAGCUCUAACUCAUGUGACUGUGUGUGCUCAUACAGUUACUUACAAAAGGGCAUCUAGUCAAAGUGUGCAAACAAGAAGCUAAGGCUGUGUUGGGCACCAUUUUUUUAAAAAAACAAAAAACACAGAAUCUGACGCACAAAAUAUGUUGUGUUACCCUUUUUAUCUUAUUUUUGUAAAGAACUUUCAUUAUUUCUAUAAAAAGUGGAAGCAAAAAAAUUUUCACUUCCACUUUUUUUAAAGUAGGUUUCAUCCUGUUCUCAACCCCUUCGCCCAACCUUCCAAUCUUGGCUCUGCCCUUCCGCCUCUUCGAGGCCUUCACUGCCCUCCUCCUCCUCCCCGCUGCCAUCCACCACUCUGGUGACUUCCUCUGCUGCCCCGCCACCGUCCUUCUCAAUCCAGCCACCUCUUCAAUUCAUCCGUUCGUUGCCCAUGUCCAUCUUCUGCUCUCAUCCAUCCGUUCUUUUGUUCUCGAUGUCCUUUCAUCCGUUCCCAGCAUCCAUCCUCCUUCAUCAUCCAACAGAAAAGCCCUCUUGAUGCUUGUUCGGUUCCAUGCUUCCAACUUUCAUCAUGGUCUAUCAUUUGUCUUAUUAAAAAAAGGGGGAGGGGAUAUUUUCUAUUGUCAGAAAUCAGGGGGAAAAAAAUCUGUUUCUACUUUCUUUAAAUUAAAAAAAAGAAGUAGAACCAUACAAAACGCAGCCUAAGUUUGUUGAUAAAUCAUGAAACCACAAAGGCUCAUCCCAUCCGCUAUGCUAUGUAAGCUGUAAGCAACAAGACAGUUAAUCUAUGUAAAUAUUGAUAAACCCUAAUUUAAGAAACGCAGAAGUCAAAAUCUUGAAAUAGUAUCACCUGUAAAACCUCACCUCACGAAAACAUCAGAAAUCAAUUCACCAACCUCUUGGGUUUGUUACCAUAAAGAAGAAAUAGAAAACCAUCGAUCUAAGCAAUAUCAACUCAAAUCUCGGACCAGAUCACCAACACAGAUAUCACGAAGAACUAUAUAUUCAAACAAAUCAACACGAUUCGAGAAAAGUAUCAAAGAAAGCGAGCAUCGGAAAACCAGAACCAUGAAAAAAGAGGCCUCACCGCCGCCACUCCCGCAGGAUAAACCCCUCCUCCGGCUGCAUCUCGUUUGGGGGCGGUAGAAUCAGGCCGUCAGUAGCAAAGACCCCGCCGUGAUCCGCCACGUCGUAGGCCUUCCCGUUGGAUUCCGGCAUCGAGAAGGAGGAGGGCGAGGAGGGGAGAUCCGGGUGCGGAUCGGCGGGACGGUAGCCGAAGCCCUCGGGGGAGGGAGGGAAGCUGCCCUCGCCGGAGGCGUGGUGGACGGGGACAUCAUCGUCUCCGCCGCCAAAGGCCUCGCCCCCGUGGAAGGCGGCGGCGGCGGGGGAGUCUUCGGCGGGGUCCUUGGAGUCCUCGUCGGCGGCGAAGGAGGAGUAGGCGUCGAAGCGCUGCGAGGGGAGGCGGGGGUCGUAGCCGAGGUAGCCGUCGUCGUCGAAAGGGCGGGUGGAUCCCGUCAUCACCUCGUCGCCGUCGUUGCUGAAGUCGUCGAAAGAGGAAGCCAUCUCUCUCGCUCGCUCUGAGGUCGGUAGGAGAAAUGAAUGGAAGAGACACGGCCUGGUGAUAUUCUUGUAUAGUGCGCGAUUAGUGACGAAAUUGCCCUUCUGAUUUUUAUGAGGCUGCUGAUGGAGACGCCCUAAUUAGCAAGUAGCAACCGGCCUUUGAGGAAAAUAAUUAUAUCUUUUAAGACAAUAAAUAAUGUUUCAACGACAAUAUAUUUUGAUAGUACUAAAAAUAUUAGAUAAUUAUAAUAAAAAUAAAUAAUAUAAUAAAACUUUUAAUUUUAUAGCAUAGAAACGAUUUUUUUAUGGAACAAAACAUGCUGUCAUCCCAUUUUAUUCCGAUAUUUGAGAUAAAAAAAUAUUUCAAAAUAUUUUGAUCAAAUACUGAAACAAUCCUAUUUUGAUAUAUAAGAUGAUGUCCAUCCUCAUGUCUCAUUUGAGACAUAUAUCCUUAUAAUAUAGUUGAUAGCAUAUUAAAAAUAUAAAUUAUAAGAAAAUUCAAUUCCAGUGCGUAGACGUCAGGAUGAGGUAACCAAACUACACUUAAGAAGGCCAACUUUGAGUUGUUUAUUUGAUCUAUAAGAGAGUCAUGGGGUAAUUAUUGAUUUCUUUUUAAUUUUUAAGUAAGCAGAGACACGGACUUACGAGUACAGACUCUUGCAAUCUUAAAUUAUUAUUAGUUUAUUAUUACUUUACUAGUAUGUUGCAGCUAAAAUAGCAAUUGCACCACUCUAGCUUUGCCUAAAUAUGGCAAUCGAAUCUAUUCCUGCGGAUGGGAUUUUUGUCCAAAUCUUUUACUAAGAACUGUUUAGAAAUCUGAAGAAUUUUUUUAAAUAAACUUUUAUGGAAAGAAUCUCUUAGCUAUUAAUGCCACUUGGUGACAUCAAAUUCCUAUUUUCUUGGGGAAGAUAAGUUAGCAUAGGAAGUCUCAUCAACCCUUAUGAAUACCCUCCUGCCAUGUCAAACCGAAACUAAGCAGGGAUUGCCAUCCCAUGAAGGAUGUACCAAGGUUACGUAUGAGUUUAAACCUGUCAUUACCAGUUUUAUGUUUAACCUAUUUCUGAACUAAGAAAAUUAAUAAUUUUGGAGUGGAGAAAAAUCUUGAUAGUAUGUGGCAGAUGUAAUACAAACAGUCUCAAAUUUGGAACAAACACAUUUCUUUUACUAAUUAAAACAAUUGAUUCGCAAUGUUUCAUUGCAUUAUAUAACAAAAAAUAGGAUUACAGGCAGGCAGGAGGAUUGGCAGAAUGGCAGGUUCAAUAUUUUUUUCAUUGAUUUGCUAGUAACUCUUUAACUUGACUAGUUACACUUUUCCGAAUGGGCUCAAAUGGAAUGCGAGCCAUCACCUCGGCUCCAAAGGAGAAGACCAGAGCAUCUCUUGCUGUUUGUAGAUCCACACCCCUCGCCCGAAAAUAGAAGAGUUGGUCUUCUUCAAGGUCACUGAUAGCAGCUCCAUGUGAACAUUUGACAUCAUCAGCAAUGAUUUGUAGGUUAGGUUUUACAUUGGCUGUCGCUCGAGGUGCCAAGAGGAGGGUUCUUGUCAGCUGACCAGCAUCAGCUUGCUGUGCAAAUCUGUAAAAUGCCGAAGUUAAGGUCUGAAAAUGAAGCUUCCAAGAAUUAAACUUACAUAUUUGGGUAGGAAAGAAAACAUAUGUUUCGCAUGGUUGAUGAUUAACACCCUAACAAACAACUUGACAUGGUGAUAACGAAUCAAAAAUAAAAUAAAGAAGGAACUAUAAGUUUCUUGGCCAAAUAGCAUACAGGACAGAUUUUCAAAAAUUAAUAAACAGAAUUCUCAAAGGUAUAUGAGAUUUAUUGUUAUUUACAAGCUAGAAUGUUUCACAUUUCAGACCUUCCUAAGUGGCAUUUCUCAUAAAAUGGAAUAUUUCAGAAACUCUUCACUUUCUAACUCCAGUGAAAGUGCCAAUCAGGACAUGAACAAAUUCAGAAAGCAGCACAGUACCUGUUGACCUUAAUGUUUCCAUCAAAUACAGCCUGCCCUGAAGAUUGGCAUACAAUGCACUUGUGAAGUUGCCGGGAAUAUCCUCUAGGAUGAUCCAAGACUAAUCUGCUAUGCAGAUCUUGUGUCUGAUUGCUUCGAGAUACAUGAAAUGCUGACAGCUCCGUCACAGUGUCAGGGCCCAAUUGCUGAAUAUGGAGAUUGUGCCUGCUUAGCCUUCCACCAGUACUUAUCUCAAUGAGCUCAUAGGAACUAGAUGAUUCCUGCGAAUAACAAUGUAUGGUUAAUCCCCGACAAUUAAGGUCUCCUCCUACAGAAAUUUAAAGCUCUCUUUGUUUCUUUGAUAAGCCGUAGAUGCAUUAACAACCUUAAUCACUGUUUUGGUUCUCUCGAUGUCCAAGUUUACUACUCUAACAGUCUAACCUACUAGUCAUUACUUUCUAAGGGCUACAUACCUAUAACCCUACAAACACCAAUCAAAGUCCAACCCUACGUCCUUCACAGUCAGAGGGUACAAUUCUACAAGCAAUCCAUCGAUCAAACAUCAAUAAUUCAUCAUUUAUUUCAGCCUAUCAACAUAAACUUCUCUGCCCUACAUGUCAAAAAUCUUAAUGCCUAUUGAAUUUUUCACAGAAUGGCAUUCUACAUAUUUCCAAUAAGAAAAUCAGGAUGUCGUCAUCCAUCGCAAAAAUAAAAAACAUCCAUCAUGACACGACACAAAAACAUAUUAUUAGAAUAAAAUCACAAGAUCAGAUAUUUUUCCCUUAUAAGGAAUAAUUGUAUAACUGACAGAGCAAAUAACUCAUUUCAGCAAAAAGCCUUUAUAUAACGCCCCAAAUCCCUCUUUAGAUAAACAGCCUUUAGAUCAUCAGCAACUCUUUCUCUCAUGCAUCGGAAAAUAUGCUCCAUGCCCCACCAAAGGAAAGAGAAAAAAAACAGAGAGAACACAAUAUAGAAAGUUAACCAGAUAUAGCAAACAAGCAACCUCCCACAUCUUCUCUGGAUAAUCAGCACAUCUUCAAACAUGGUUCUCAUAACUCAGCUUCCAGAAGCAAUCAACUCAUGAAGGUUUCCAUCAAACUAAGAUAGGUCUCCAAAUCAACAGAGCUAUCUCACAAGGCUAUACCUUAGAAAUUUGCAGUUUUUGGCCUACUAACUCAGUAGCCUUUACUUAAUAUUGAGUCUUUGGCAAAUUCAUUUGCAACUUGUAAUAGGCUGCCCAUCUAAUAUCAAUAUUGUUCCAGAGACUCCACAACUUCAAUCCAAAGAAAGAUAAAUCUAUAACUAAAGAAUUGGAAAUAUAAAGAAUAGGAAAUAUAAACAUAUAUCAUUAGACUUAAAGAUCACAAAGCACCAUCUUUCAGACAUGAAACCAUCUGAAGAAUAAAUUUACGAAGAAUGGCAUGCAAGAAGUCACCUGCCGAGCAAACGUCCACUUGAUAUGAGCGGCAUUCACCGACUGCCUCUGCAUGUAAGAAUGCGUCACCUUGGCGCCCUCCUCGAUCACAAUCUCCAUCACGGAAUUGGCCCAGUAGCAUCUCUCAUCGCUUCCCCCGACCCCCAAGUGCUCCUCCACGAUCCCCACCUCGGCCCCCUUCUCCACCACAACCAAAACCCUGGGGUUCGACAACCGCAACCGCUGUGAUCCAACUUCAUCCCCCUCAGAGUAACAGAAUCGUAUAUGAAUUGGCUCGUCAAGGACCCGCGCUCCAGCCGGGAUGUAGAUUACGGCGAUAUCGGGGGCGCCGACACCGUUCAAGUCCCAGAACAAGUCCCGAUCUUGGAAGUCGUCGGCGGAGGCGAUGGCGGCGAGGAGGCGGUCGUAGAUGGGACCCGGGGGGAGGGCAGAGAGGCUGCCGGCGAAGGCGCCGGCAGGGACGGAGGAGAGGCGGGAGAGGGAGGUGACAAAGUGGCCGUCGACGAGGGAAAUGAGAUUGGGGGAAGGAGAGUCGAGGGAGAAGGAGGGAAGGGGAGGGAUGGGAGCGGGAAGGAUGGAGGAGUUCUUGAGGAAGGAGGUGUCGGUGAAGCGAAAGGGCUCGUCUUUGGAGGAGGGCCAGGAGCGGGAGAGGAGGGACUGGGAGGAGGAGUCGCGGAGACGUUGGAGAGGGAGGGAUUGGAUCGAGGGGGAGGAGGAAAGGGAGUCCUCGAGCUUCUCGGCGAUCUCGAGGACGAAGGGGUCGGAAAGGGAGGAGCGAAGGAAAAGAGAGGGUCUGCGAGGGGUUAGAGUUAGGGCUUUGGGGGGAGAAGUGAGGAGAGGGGAGCGGAGGCGGCGGCGGAGGGAAGGAGGAGAAGGGAGCAACGAUGAACAACAGUAGGACAUGGUGGGCGGAGUUAAACGAUAGAGCACUGGGUUCCGCGGUUAUUGGCUUUGGGGCAUGAUUUGGCUGUUACUACAGUAGGGUUUUUCUUUCUUCCUCUUCUUCUUCUUCCCUCUAUUUUUUUUUUUUUUUUGAUACAAAAGGACUCAGUUUUAACUAAAAUCUACAGUAAGAUAUAUCAAGCAGAUCAACGUACAUACGGAUUACUUCUCCUCUUCCUACCACAAAACUAUAUCUAUGUAUACAAAAUAAUUUUCAAAAGAGGUGACAUGGGAUCUGCUUGUCAAUGAUAAAAUUUUUAACAUUUACACUGUUAUCUAAAGAUGGCAAUUAGGCCGGAUCAAGUCUGAUAUGUGUUGGAUUAAUAUGAGUUGGAUCAAAAAAUUAUUAUUUAUUUAUUAAAUAGAUUAAAAAUUUAAACAUGAACAUAUACUUAUUAAAGAGAUAAUUUGAUCCGAUUUAUUUAAUUUAUUUAUUAAAUAAAUUAAAUUAAAUUAAAUGAAUUAAAUAUGUUAAAUAGAUCGAAUUAAAUAGAUCAGAAAUAAAUUAAGUAGAUUUUAAAUAGAUUAAACAGACUUAAAUAGAUUAAACAUAUUAAACAGAUCGGAUUAAAUGAGUUAGAAAUAUGUUAAACAACUUAAAUGGACUAUCUAACUCAAUUCGAUCUGAAUAUUAAAUAGAUUAAAUAGAUCAGAUAUUUAAAACUUAAAUCCGAUUCAAAUAUUCAACGGAUGAAAAAGAUCAUUCUAUUUAUGAUGAAUCAAAUACGAAUCGAAUUGUUGGAUCGAAUCAUAUUUUAUCGAUUCUAUUAUUAUCCAUCUUACUAUAUAAUUUUUUUAUAAUAAUUAUGAAUACAAAGAAAGUCUCCUGAUGUAAAAUAUUUUUUGAAAGAGGCAGCAGAGGCUCCUUCAAUCCAAAUAUACGGUGCAUGAAAGCAACGCACCUUACAUCCAAGUCCAGCGCGUACAGCAGCUAGUUCAACAUGUAGUACAGAGCAAAGAGGAACAGAUUAACCUGCGGCCCGUAACACCCAUUGAUAUUUCUGAUGACAAAACCUGAGGCAAGUUGCGUGCCUCAAAACAACUCCAUUGAAGUUGACCAUCAAGAUACCAAGAGCAGGGGGCAACCAUUAAACAAAUAUAGUGGUUGAUGAGCUUGGAAGUCGGUUAGAAGGGCCACCCACCCCAAGGCCUUGAUGUGCCUUAAAGAGUUCUUGUUCAUUAGUAGUUCCAAUAUCCAACACACAGGUCUUCCGACUUAUGGUAGUGACCAGAUUUUGAAAUAAAUAAUCAUUGGUUGCUGUCUACAGCCGCCAAUCUAUGCAUGCCGUCCAUGAUCUCAGUCUAUUCUCUAUCUGGGUAUUAGCCACAUGGCAAUGCUGAUAAAAAGGUAGGAUAAGAUCCGUGACCAUUCCAAAUUGCCGUGCAAAAAAACAUUGAGCAACACUACUGCCGGAGAAAUUCUUGUACACCGCCCGCGGUGGUGCAGAAAAUUUAGCAUGGAGCAUAUUGUCUCAUCUAAUUGAAUCAUAUAGUCAUCAUUUUUUAAUACAUAUUUAAUAUUUAUAAUUCUUAUUUUUAAUUUAAAAAUUUUAAAUGAUAAAAAUAUUUUUUUAAAAAAAUUAUAAUAUUCUAUAUCGAUAUUAUGAUAUUCUGUAUUGAAAUUAUGACUUCCUAUACGUAUACGAUGUCAUAAUUUUUUCACGAGAUGUCUUUAAAAGAGAAGAAUAUUUUCAUCAUUGAAAAAUUUAUAUUAAAUUAUUCAAUGAUGAAAAUGCCUCUAACAAAAUUAUGACAUCCUAUGAAAAAUUAUAACAUCAUUUGUAGGAAGUCAUAAUUUCAACGCAGGAUUUCAUUAUUUUUUAAGAAAAAAAGAUAUUUUUAUUAUUCAAAUUUUUUAAUAAAAAAUAAAAUAAUCUAAUCAGAUAAGACGAUACGUUCCACAUCGGAUUUUCUACGCUGCAGACGGUGUACCAAGAAUUUCACCUAUAGUUGCAGUGUUCUAUUUGCAAUGGCCUUGGAAAGCAAAUGCCUAAUCCAACUGGUAGGUUAGUUUAGACGAGGGUACCCUCAUAUAAGACUGCAAAAAAUGUCUAUAUAUUGCGUGGUAUAUUAAUGAUUUGUGUGGUUACAUUAUGACAUAAUCUAUUUCUAGAUUCAUAAAAUAAAGCAAUCUAUUCACCAGAUAUCUUAGAAUGAACAAAGGUCAUAAUGUGCCCAUGUAUUGGUGAGAAGAUGAAUUUUUCUUCACUCGUCACAUCUUGUAUGUCAAGAUGUACCCUUCCUUUGAUUCCUAAUAAUUUACUUUUUGGAGUAGAUGAUGACAUUCCUGAAUUGAGGAUCCUUCCAUGGCCAAUAUAUAGCAAGUUAUGUGCUAGGGUAUCACUUUUUCACAUCAAGCUGAGCACAUAUUUAGUAUUGUUUAAAAUAAACCUUUGCAUAACUUUAAAUAAAAAAAGAUUUCUAGAAAAUCUAAUGUGUUUAAAGCUACUAUUCUGCUUUUAUAAUAAGACAAAGUCAAGAAUCUCUUUUAGAACCAGCUAGAAAACAAAGUUCAUUACUUCAGUAAAAAAAAUUAUAAGUAGAACAGAUACCAAAAACACGCCAUAAGCUACCCAAAAAAACAAAUCAAACCCAGCUGGAAGCCAUUCUUAUGCCCAGGCCCAGAACUUUUCCAGUGGGGCCAUCUCUACUCGUAGUACUAAAUUGUGUCCCAGCAAAUUUGUCCUUCCUCAGUUUUCACAACGAUCCAAGUAUAUAUCAAUCUGGAUACCAACUGAUGAAUAGGUUCCAAUCCUUUCCAGUUCACCUAUAAAACUGGAUUCUCCAAUCCAGCAUGGGCUGUGCCACUUCACUAAUCUCAAAAAUCAAUGGUUAGAGAUGUUAAAUUCAUCCAGCAAAGUGUAUAUGUUUGAAAAAAAUCACAAUAGUAGAAAGCCCCAUUGAGGAGAUGGUCCUGCCAAACCUCAGCUAUUACUUCUCACCUCCUUUCCACCAUUAUCAUGAACACAUCUCCUAUUUAAGCUGGAUUCUAGUGAAAUUCUUCUAUGAGAUUGUUGCACUGGUGGGAUCAAGUCAUGAAGGGUAUCAGAAGCUAUCCUGGCCUCUAAAUUAACAUUUAUUUGUGAUUUAUUUACAACUUCACCCUUUUUUCUACCCAAAGGUAUGGAUGGAGAGAUAUAAUGAUUUUAGGUUUGUGUUAAUUCUCAAAAACCAUAGAGGAUUUGGAUUAGUCAAAAAUAUAAAAUAAGUCCUGAUUCAAGAUAUGUCUUAAUACUAGCAUAUAACCCAUGUGGGAUGCAAUUUUUUCUUCUUACCAUUUUUAAAAUAUAAUAUAGAAUAGAUAUAGUUUACUAGAUAACAGAACAAUAAUGCAUAUAUAUAUACACAUAUAAAGGUCUAACUGCAUGCUAAAAUAAGUGAUUCAAAAUAAAGAUAACAUUAAUGAUAUCAUCAAUAAGGAUGUUCAUACCAAAAUGUAGAGCGCAUCAUGAGCAAAAAAUUUUUAAUUUUAGUGUGUAUAUAUAUAUAUAUAUAAAGGAGUAAAACUUUUUGUGAAUUUAUUAGAUGGUCUUGGUCCAAUGGAUCAGUCUAACAUCAGAAGGGUUAAUGUGGUGAGUGAGUAUUGGACUGAUCCAAUGGACCAGGUCUAGCCACUAAUUUCUUAUGAUAACCUGCCAGAUCUUAGCCGGGACCCACUUAAAAUGAAAUCCCAGCAGCAUCGCCGUUCCGCGGAGAGCUUGUGACCUGCGGGAAGCUGCGACGCGGUCCGACGACGACUUUUCGGGCACCGACGGCACCGACUCCGCUUUGUCCCCAAAUCUUGGCCAAAAUCCCAAACCAUGUGAACUCUCCGUUUCCCCUCUUGUUCUCUUAUUAAGAACCAGAACAAAUUAAGAGACAAAGGAGGCUUUUUUUUUUUUGUUGGAGCUCGCUCUCCCCAAACCAUGGCGUUCUCGCGGCCGUCGUCAAUGGCGAGAGGCGUGCGGCACCCCCGGAUGUUCUCCAGCCGGCGGUCCUCGUCGUACACGCUCGCGCUGACGAUACUGCUGAUUCUGUCGGUGGUCCUCCUGAUGCUCCUCGCGCUCGGCAUAUUCUCCCUCCCCGUCCACUCCGACGGCGCCUCCGAAGCCACCGACAUCCGCCGCGUUAGAUCCAUCUCCAAGAAAAGAAUGCCGUACGUCGGAUGCUUUUCCAGUGUUUUCGCUUUCUUUUCUGUGGUUUGGUUUCGAUCUGAUUUGAUGUGAUGGGUGUCGGAUUUGGUGAUUGUUGGUUUAAUUUCUUCGCAGGGGUGGGAAUGGGCAAUGGACGGAGAUCAUCUCGUGGGAGCCCAGAGCGUUCGUCUUCCACAAUUUCUUGGUCAGUCUUUGCAAAAGCUCGGAUUUUUCCUUUUCUCGCCCCUCGAUCUGUGUUUUUCUUGUUAUUUGACGUUGAUUUGCUUAGACUUUUUUUUUAUUAAUCAUUUUAGGGUUUUCUGAGAUUAUAUGUUUGUAGUUAUAAGAAAGAUUUAAUUUUUUUUACAUCAAGCACUGCAGUCCAUUAGAGAAAGCAGAGAGAUAUUGGAAGGUUGAUAACUAAUUCGUUUCGCCAUUCUCGCUUAAUCCUCUAGAUUUUUGACUGAAUGUUUGGACCGAAAUGUGAAUCGAUUUAUGUCAUUCUGAAACCCUAAUAUUUUGCACUGGUAGUGCCGUAGGGGUAUGUAUCGUGCUCAGUAAUUUGACAUGGCUACUCACGUUUCAAGAUUUUGAAACUUGGAGCCCACUGUCUGAUGUUUACCCAAUGUUUUAUGAGCCCUUCAUAGGGCUCAAUGCAUGUCUUGAACUUGCACAAAUAAAUUUCCUGAUUCACUCGCAUAACCAGUUACUUUUUAAUAGUUGAUUUUUUUUCCUUAUUGGUUUCCUUUGUUUUCUGCAUAUCCUCAUGGCUGUGUCAAUUUAAAAGACAUCUUAUCUAUUGUCAGUGAUAAUGUAUUAUCUGGAUUUGAACGUUACUUUGUAAAUCUUAUUACUGGUUAAUGGUAAUAGAUCCCCUCCCUUGAGUGUCUCCUUAUAGAAUUCUAAUAAAUCGGAAGUAUUGUUCUUGAUUAUGCAUUUGUCAGUCGAAGAAGGAGUGUGAGUAUCUAAUUAAUCUAGCAAAGCCUCAUAUGGAGAAAUCAACUGUUGUUGAUAGCGCUACCGGGAAAAGUAAAGACAGCAGGUUUGUGGGUUUCGGAUCUUUUUACAUUCAGGAAGUUUUUAACCUCAUUGACAGUUCCUCAGCAUUGUUUAUUUACAAAAUAUGCAGGGUUCGCACAAGCUCAGGCACAUUCCUGCAACGAGGCCGAGACAAAACCAUCCGAGACAUUGAAAAAAGGAUAGCAGAUUAUACCUUUAUACCUGUAGGUAUGUAUGAAAAAUUUUGGCUUUUAGUAGCUGAUAAAUUGAUAUCCUGGUCCUUUUUUUUCUCUUCUUCUUGAUAAAUGCUUCCUCACAUUGUACAAGGCACAUGCACCAUCUAAUUUUAUUAAGACCUUAUUAUAAAGAGCAUUAUGAUUAUUUUUUUACAAAAAGAACUGCAGAGUUCUCAAUAUUUGAAUGGGUGAAGAUUUAACAUGUUUUGGAUUAUGCAUUAGUUUCUUCAUGCUUUCUUGAGAACUUGUUGUUAGUGUUUCUGUUAUUGUAGUGGCAAUAGUUUUGUGAUAUGAUGCAAUAUUGACUGAUUAAUAUUUUCCAAGAACUGAAUGAAAAGAAAGAAGAUUACAAAGAUACCGUAAAGGAGAGAGAAUCAGAUAGAAGACCCAUAUGACAGAGAGAACAGCGGUUGAAACAUGCAUACAGGCCGUGUUUAUGGGUCUGAAGGAUAGGCCAAGUAUUUUGGAUCUUUCUUCUGGUCCUAUUCUGCAACCAGCUUUCAUUUUACCCCCAAAGGGUCUAAAAGAGCUUGUUACCAUUUAAUAACUGUUGGUUGUAUGAGAAAUAGGCAGCCAUUUAAGAACAAGGGUUUUAACUUAGGAGGAAUAUAGCAACUGCUUGUAUGAAAACCAUAUAUUGCUCGAUUUGUUCAUAUGAGCAUGCUGCAUCAUUAAGAGGGGAUAUAAAAAAGUUGUCAUGCUUUUUCAUACUUUCUGUCUAGUGUUCCUACUAAAAGAUUACUAGUCUUUCUAUACUAGUUGCUUGAGGAAGGGUUUAUGGGUUACAACAAUGAACAUUUUCACUCACUUGUGUAAUUGGAAUAGAUAAUUGGAGUUCACAAGGAGUUGAAAAAAGUUAUGGCGUUGAUAUCUUUAAACUGAAGAAUUUUUUUUAAGUUAAUGGUUCUAGACUCCAAAUAUAUUUUGGAAAAAAAGAAAAAGAAAAAAAGGAGAGGGAAGCAUGAAGUGGGAACAACAACAUCAAGUUCAUAAUAAAUUGCAGUCAUGUUCUGGAUGGAUGUUGGAACCCUGUAUGAAUCUUCUGGGAGCUGUAUCUCCUGGACAUUGACUCAUGUUGUAACGCUAUAAAAGCUAAUUUCUUGUAAAGAUCUGCAAUCUGUUGUUUGCUGUUACAAUAAUUUGUGAUCCACAGACAUGAUGGAAAAUUAUAAUCUCGUUAGUAGGAAGCAUAGGAAUAAUAAUAUAAAGAGAUCCUUUAUUGUGUAAACAUUUCAUAUUAAACAAGAUACUGGCUUGAAAUUUUUUACAAUUUGAGGAAUUGUUCCCAUGCAUAAACAGAAUAGCUUGUUAAUUUUUGCAUAGUUUGUGACAGUUUAAAUUGGAUUUCGUGAUCAGGCAAGCGACUAAACUUAAUCUACAUAAUAAAUUUUAUUUGGAUUGAUUAUAAUUCUGCUGCUUUUCUGUAGCAAUCUUCAUCUCCAACUUAUGUUCUGGUAGCUUAUCUUGCACUAUUUUUCCAGGUGCCUUAACCUAACUUUUUGUUUCACAGAGCAUGGGGAGGGCUUCCAAGUUCUACAUUACGAGGUUGGACAGAAAUAUGAACCACACUUUGACUACUUUCUUGAUGAAUUCAACACUAAGAACGGGGGUCAGCGUAUGGCUACUCUUCUAAUGUAUCUGUAUGUACAUUCAUAUCUCAUAUCCCUACAUUUUCCCUUUUUUUUAUAUAUAGAGAAAUAUAUCUCUUCAUAAUUUUUCUAUAGACAACUAUGACAUUCCCUCUCUCUCUCCCCCCCCUCUCCUUAUUUGUACAGUUCAGAUGUUGAAGAAGGUGGUGAGACAGUGUUCCCUUCUGCAAAGGUCAAUAGUAGUUCUUUACCAUGGUUCAAUGAGCUAUCUGAGUGUGGAAAGAAAGGUCUUUCUGUUAAACCAAAGAUGGGAGAUGCCUUACUUUUUUGGAGCAUGAAGCCUGAUGCCACUCUAGACCCAUUAAGUUUGCAUGGUUAGUCAUUAUAAUUGCAUAUCUUUUAGUUCAGGAGCAUAUCUUUUAAUCCACAAAAGUAUUCUACAAGCAUGGUGUCUGCUUUCUUGAAUGUGCCGUUUCGUCCUCUAAAAUUCAUCUAAUUGUCUACAAGCUGCUGCUUCUGUGGAUUUUUUCUUGUCGAAAGUAUUAUCCAAUUCUUGAAGAUAUUAUUGUUUUUCCUUUUUGGUUUUUUGCAGGUGGAUGCCCUAUGAUUAAAGGGAACAAGUGGUCAGCUACGAAAUGGAUGCGUGUCCAUGAGUAUAAAGUUUAAUUUGUCACAUUAUAGGUAUUUUCCCACUUCCAGCAGCUUGGAUUUUAAUUAUUCAUGGUUGCUUGUAGAAGUGGUUCACCUUCCUUGAGGACACCUUACUGACAUGAUAUUUCAGCAGCAAAUUUGAACAAGUUUCCAUGAUCCAGAUAUGUCAUAGUCAGGACCUUAAUUUCUUUUACCUACUCUCAGUCAUACUUUUCUACCAUACUGAUUUCAAAAUUGCAAUUUGCAAGGCUUCAUAUCUUACGUAGAACUUUUGGGAUAAAUAAUACUGUCUCUGACUUACCCCAUAGCUUGUAGCAGUGACUUAAUAGUUUGCUUGUGUAUCUGCAUGUUAAUUAACAGUUAUGGACAACUGUUAGAUACCCAAUCAAGUCCUUUGCCACAUAUUUUCCUUAUGUUUACUUUGAUCUUUUCCCACCUUGAUAACUCCAAACAAGUCUGAAUUCCUUCACUAUUGGGGCCUUUUUUGUCCGUGUCAUGUGGUGAAUGAAUCAUCAAAAGAAGGGGUGGAAAACAAGUUCUUUGGUGACAAAGGAGUCUGUUAUGUAUUGGUAGCUAAAUUGGAGCACUCACCUUGGAGGUGCUUAACUACGUAAGUUUAUAUUUUAUAGUAUGCAUGUUUCAGAGAGUGUGAGAUGCAUUAUCUACAAGGCUCAAAAGAGGCUGUUAGGUCUUACAUAUUCAUGUGAGUAAAACUUUGCUUUCUGUCAUAUGAUAUCAGGUUUCCUUCCAUUUGCUUUCCUGAUUCUCUAGUACAUGUUAGAUAGAUUCAAUAGUCAAAGGAUGCAUUUCAUUCAUACCUUGUCUUUGUAGACUGAGGGACAUGGUAUAAGAAAAUAAUGAGUAUUUUUAGAAGUCCCUCAGAUAAUAAAGACAAUAACCAUAGCAAACCAUCCAUUUGAUGUUCUAUUUGGCGUUGCUACAUUUAAGUGAUAUAAUGGACGGCCUACACAAUCAAUAUGGUGUUCCUUUUAACACUGCUACAGUGUCAGAUGCAUGCCGAACUUGAUGACCAUACCACCUUUGAUCUUUGAUACCAAUAAACUAACCUAGAUAAUAAUCCAAUAACAAGUUCGAGGACAUGACUGGUUCUCCUAAAUGUUGGGACAGAUAUGUGACAGUGUAUACUCCAUGUGGUUGUAUUCCAGCAUUGAUACAAAAAGAUGAAUAAGAAAGCAUUCAAGAUGAACCAUCCAGAUCAAUGUCCAGAAAUCAAGUUUCCAACCAAUACAUUGAUCUUGUAGAAGUUUCUGGGAAACUACAGCUUUUAUAUUAUGCAAUUUGUUUCUAGCAGUCAUCUAAGAGGAACCAAUUGUGCUAAACUAAAGAUCAACAGAAUGCUUGAUUAAUAAUCUUUGGCUUGGUUUUCAUGAAACUGAGAAUUUUCACAGAGAGGAGAAAUGGACAGUGCUUUGCAUUAUAUUGCAGCAUUAAAUGCUCCCUCUUAAUUCAUACCUUGUGAGUAAAAUAUGUAUUACCAAUUUUGACAUCUUCUAUGUGAAAGAUAUCCCAAUAUGGUUGCCUGGACUAACUUAGGUCAUUAUUUUUGUCCACAUCAUGUUAUCUUAAUGCAGUCUGAUUGCUAUGUUAUCGAUUCCUUGAAGUUGUACUUUAGAUUCUGUAAGAGCAUGCCUAAUUCUAUGUAGCUGGCAAUUUGUGUUCACGGAUCGUAAACGGGUCGUGUCGAUUUGGGGGUAUAACACAGAUUAGCUCAAUCCGAACACGAUCUAUUUAAUUAAACGGGUCGAUCUGUGGAAUGCGAACACGACAUGAAUAUACACGGAUUGAUACGACAUGACCCAUUUGACAUGAUUAAUAAUUGUGUUGGCGAGUCAAAUGAGUACACAACCCGCCUAAUGAUCCAUUUAACUAUUUGACUUAUUUACAAAAUUUAACUAAAAUAAUAAAAAUUUAGUCAAAAAUUAAAAUAAUAUAAAAAUAAUUUAGUUACCUACUAUGCUAAUUCAAAGCUCUGAAUUCCAUCGUUGUUUGUUUUAGGUUAGGAUUAUAAUUUUUUGAUUUUCCUCAUUUGCCUUCAAGUAAUUUUAAAAUAAAUGUGUUAAACAUAUUUAAACGUGUCAUGUAAUCCGUUAACCUGUUUUAACCCAUUUAGUCAAAACGGGUUACGUGGGUCAAUCCACUUAAGACACGAAUUUGUCGUGUCAUAAAUGGGUCGAUUUGUUUAUGAUCCGAAUCUAUUUAUUUCAAAUCCAAACCUACUACGUGUCGUGUCAAAAAUUGUCAGUGCUAAAUCUAUGUAUUUUAAACUGAAGAUCCUGAAGCACCCUAUAAAAGAUAAUGAUCAAAAAGCAGUGCACAAAGGAUAUGAAAAACCAAAGAAUUUCUAAAUUUGCUGCAUAUAAAAUGCACCCAUAGGUUAAGGAGUCUUUUCUGUGCUAUAUAAAGAAGGCAUGUGCAUAGAAAGAUACCGUACAUUCCUUCUUUUCUUCUUCUUCUUCUUCUUCUUUUUUUUCCCGAAAAGGCAAUGAGAGCAGUUACAGUUCACUAUUUGCAAGUGCUAUGAGUUUACAGAAACAAGUGAUUAUUUAAUCAUUUUCUUUGAUCAUUUUUUUUGGUGUGGAAGUAAAUGAAAUAUCCAUUUGUGAUAUCUAGUACUUAGAAUCAUCACUUACUAUUUGGUAUUUUAUGGUGUUGCCAGGUUUGUCAGUUGGAUCAUUUGGCUUUUCCACUGUAUCUUUCAGCUGAAGUUUCCAUCCAUUUCAUAGCCUGACUAAUAUUUUUGCCCUCUCCCUGUACUUCAUCUCUUCAUACAGAAUCAACAUGGUUCUUUUCAACCUAUGGUUAAGCUUGUGUUAGACUGUCGUUAAUUUGUUGCUGAUAUUUCAGUUGUAAUUUGAUAUACCCAGCUGCGGAAAGAACUGAUAAGGGACUGAGAGGAGUAGGGGCAAAUGGUCAAUGGCUGUUUUGGCUAAAAAAAUGGAUUCUGACUAAUUUUAUGCUGGAUAUUGUGCUGUUUUAUAUUAUAAUGACCGAACACGUUUGCUAGUGAACAAAUGUUACAGAGUUGCAUUUUUACUAUUCCAGUAUGGUGAUCCAUCAUUUUCAGUGCAUUAUACUAUGUAUGUGAAUAAAACAAUGCUUAAAAGCUUUACUCAGAAUCUCAGAUGGCUUGGAAACUUCUUGUGCAUCCGUGGAAAAUCAUAGGUGGUGUUACUUGUGAAUUGUAUUUUUAGGGAGACAGCUCUUUAAUGUUGUCCAGGGUUAUAAAAUGCAGGACUAACUAGCAAUCUUAGGGAGACCUGGUGGAAAUUUUCUCAAGUUGAGAAAAAAAAUCAAACUACCAAUCAAACUCUUCAGUUGACCAUUAUUUACAAGCUCCAGAAGAAGUCUCGAGUUGGUAGCCGCAUCAAUAUUUUCUAAUCGAUGUUAGCUGGUUUACAGUAACCCAAGGAUCCUCUGUAGCGUUUACAGCAGAGACUUUUCCACACAAGUUCCCAUCUUUGGUGAGAGAGUCCACCUGGAAAUGCCAAUAAAAACUGUGGUUUCCAGCAGAGACUUUCCAUAGAAGCUGCAGGCUUGGAAAAUGAUUUUAGAUGCCUACUUCACUGAGUGGGGAUAACCCCAAGAAACCAUCUCUUUGUGACUUUAUGGAUGUACUGAUUGUAACCCCAAGCAAACGAUGAGCCCCAAAAUGAUUGAAGAAAUUAUUCAUACGAACUUCUUGAUGUAUCUUGUAGGGAUCCUCAUUAAAAUAAUAUGAAAUUAAGUCCAGAGAACAAUCCUGUCGGACAUUACACUCCUAGUAAAAGAUAAUGCGUGGAAAUUGGAGAGACUAGCAAAAGAUCAGACAAGUGUUUUCUCCCUGUUUUCCUUUCUUACAGAAAGCCCAUAUUUUUCCACAGUUAACCAAGGCCUCCUUAGGCACGGAGGGUUUCAUGAUGUCACACUUCAACUAUUAGUAAUUAUAUCACUUCCAAAGUGUGACAUCAGUAUUUGAAUACUGAAUUUUGGAUAUUAAUUUCUGGCUUGAUAUACUGCAAGAAAUAUUUUCUAAAAUUACUUCGAUGGAGUCAAAGUAUAUAACCAUGGAUAAAAAGAAAUGGUUAUAGCUUCAGCCCAUAAUAAACAAGUCAGACCACCGGAUACCAUUACAGAAAGCAAAAGAGAAGCCUAUACACACUUUCUGGGACAGCCAGAGAGGAUAUUAGGUAUGGG
rnacentral:lncRNA from 1 species